rnacentral:rRNA from 1 species
UACGGAGGGUGCAAGCGUUAAUCGGAAUUACUGGGCGUAAAGCGCACGCAGGUGGCUGAGUCAGUCGAUUGUGAAAGCCCUGGGCUUAACCUGGGAAUUGCAGUCGAUACUACUCAGCUAGAGUAUGGGAGAGGGUAGUGGAAUUCCCGGUGUAGCGGUGAAAUGCGUAGAUAUUGGGAAGAACACCAGUGGCGAAGGCGGCUAACUGGUCCAGAUCUGACGCUGAGGUGCGAAAGCGUGGGGAGCAAACAGG